AUGAUUUCUUCGUCAUCUUCAUCUGGCGACGAUGAACUCAUACUUGCAGCAUUCGCCGAGCGCGAGGAGGAAGAGAGGAAGAACGCUCAACGCCAUGGCGGUUCCAAGCAUGGACGUCAGUCAAUCGAUCGAGGAAGAGAUGCCGGAUUUCUUCUUCUGUGGGACGACUACUUCAAAGAAGUUCCUCGCUUUCCCGAACAUUUGUUUCGACGAAGGUUCAUAAUUAGUACACUUCUCUGCUUUGGUCCUUUUUUCAUUUCCCUGUCUCAUUUACUUUUUAUGCACAGAUUUAGGAUGCCGCGUACUUUGUUCAACCGCAUAGCUGAUGGUAUACUUGAGCAUGACUAUGAUGGUUAUUUUACGCCAAAAAGAAGUGCUUCUGGAGCUCUUGGGUUACAUCCCCUGCAAAAGAUGACCGCGGCAAUGCGGAUGCUAACAUAUGGAAUAGCAGCUGAUGGUGUUGAUGAGUACAUCCGGUCCGCU
rnacentral:rRNA from 1 species